UGCUUUUGUUUGUCUUUCUUUAUGUUAACUUAAAAUUUAUUUUUUACAGUAUUCUGUGGUAGAGUUUGUGUCUGACCCUGGAAAUGAUGAAGAGGAAUACCUUGUGGAAGUUGUACCAACCAAGUGGAUUAGCGAGGAUAGAGAAUUCUGUUAUUAUCCGCCACAUUCCAUGAGGGGGAUUUUCCCCCCAAAUGUACGAAGUUGGUGAUGAGUCUAGCGGACUAUGACUCGUCCGAGUGGAAACUCCUCCGCAUUAUAUACCAUCACAGUUAUUCUACUUUCAAUGUUGCCCUAAAAGCUAGAAACAAGGCCGUGAAGGAGGACACAAUUGUUGCAACAGAUGUUGAUACAGACUAUACACCAAACCACGCAACAGAAAGCCACCUAAGCUCAGUUUUGAGAAGUCCAAAGUAAAAAGUAGAAGGUGUUUGCUUGAAGAAGUUUCCUACAGUACAGAUUUCCGUAUUUGAAGACCAUAUGAAACGAUGGUUCAACACUUCCAUGCAACGGUCAGACUAGAUCAACUAGGUUGGGAAACUACAGUUGUAUUUCGACUUUACCGUUUGUGAGCUUCAUAAAAGCUUUUGUAUAUUGAAAACUUGCGUGAUUCUCAUGAAUUCUAUUAUUUGUCUUUUAUUUUUUGGUUUGAGUUGUUUUGCAUAGUU